rnacentral:rRNA from 1 species
UACAGAGGGUGCAAGCGUUAAUCGGAAUUACUGGGCGUAAAGCGUGCGCAGGCGGUUAUAUAAGACAGAUGUGAAAUCCCCGGGCUCAACCUGGGAACUGCAUUUGUGACUGUAUAGCUAGAGUACGGCAGAGGGGGAUGGAAUUCCGCGUGUAGCAGUGAAAUGCGUAGAUAUGCGGAGGAACACCGAUGGCGAAGGCAAUCCCCUGGGCCUGUACUGACGCUCAUGCACGAAAGCGUGGGGAGCAAACAGG